UCUUAUCAAGAGAGGCUGAGGGACUGGCCCUGUGAAGCCCAGCAACCAGUACGUUUGUACAAGGUGCUAAUUCCAGCAACUAUUAUUAGUUGAAAGAUGAG
rnacentral:ncRNA from 1 species